GUACUGCCUGGGCGGCUUUGAAGUUGGCCCACUUCGCGGCCUGAGGCAGGUGGUUGGUUGGAAAAAUAAAUGUAUAUGCUGCCCUGUUCAGCCACAACGACGAUGGUGCGUGGUCGUGUGUGCCUGUGUGGGCACUCAACCAGGAUACGGCCCAGGUGAGCGGCGCUUAUCGCCAUGGACGCCAUGGAGUUCUUCUUCGAGGAGUCUGGAGCUGGGCUCGCGCCGCGCUUGGACGGCGGAGACGUCCUAAGAGAUUUAGUUGCUGGCGUGCGUCUGCCUAAGGGCCGCACCAGUGGAAGUGCUAAUACGGAUGAGGUCUUGAUUUCUUCUCUGCUGAUGGGUUGAGCUGGAGGCCUGAUGGAUUAUGAAGGGGGCGAAGAUACGGGUGAAACAUUACUCACUGGGAGGGGGGUGCGGCUCGCUUGAUCUUGGCGGCGAAGGUGUGGGCGAUUCCUGUGAGAUAGGCGAUGCAGAUGUUGCCUCUGACGCCGAGGGCAGACGAAGAGGGCGUGGGGGUGUCCAACACAAAUCAGUCUUGUUGGACCAGAAGUCGGUGUGCGAAACUGAAAUUACUGAAGUAUAUGAGAAUUGGGAAAUUUGAAAGAAAGGACUGUAAUGUAGCAGCAAUAGAGCGUUCAUAUAAAGAUGCAGGAUAUGUAUGUUGAUUUCAAGCCAUGGCUAGAGUCCCCAGUUCACAGAAAAUGAGUGAUUUUGCACACUGAAAAAUGAAAAAGGGUCAGAGCUGGGAAGGCAGCGGAUGUGACAACGCCCAUCCCUUCAAGGAUGACUGCCCUUGAAGCUUCUGUCCGUGCAUUUGUCGAUAAAUUUUUUGGAAAUGUUGUCAAUCCCUCAAUUGGGACUAGUUUUGAUUCUGUCGAAGAGGGCUAUGAGUUUUACAAUCUAUAUUCAUGGGGGGUUGGUUUUGGUGUCUGCAAUGCAAAAAGCCGUUUGAAUGUACACCGGAAAAAAUGCAUGCAAGAGAUAGUGCGUGCCUGUGCGGGUAAGCCAUUGCAGGCCAACAGUUGGUCAACAAGGUGUGGCUGCAAUGCCAUGAUACGACUGCUGAGGUCGGGUGAUGGUGGAUGGUAUGUAUGUGAGCACAGGUUAGAGCACAACCAUGCUUUAUCUGUUUAAUUGUGGAGAGAAAUUGCACUCGAAGUCGCACCAACACAUAGAUACCUAUACAAGAGACCUUGUUAAGCAGUUGAGAGAGAAUAAUAUCAGCAUUAGCAAGGUUUAUAGUGUUGUAGGGAGUUUCUUUUGCAUGAUUAAGGAGGUGCCAUUCAUGAAACGAUCCUUAAAAACACUAUGUGGAAAACUUAACCGGGAACAGUCGCUAAAUGAUGCAACAAAAACCAUAGAUGUAUUCAACAAGAUGCGGGCGGAGGACCCAGAAUUUAAAUAUAGUGUCCAGGUGGACACCGAGGGCAUAAUUAAGACAUUGAUGUGGGCGACUGGUAAAGGCAUUGAGCAGUUCAAGUGUUUCGGUGAUGUUGUGGCGUUUGAUACAACCUAGAAGACAAACCUGUACGACAUGCCAUUUGGCCUAUUUGUUGGCGUUAACAAUCAUUUCCAGAGUGUCAUUUACGAAGGCGUGUUGAUGGGUGAUGAGAAAGUGGACACUUUCAAGUGGAUAUUCACAGAGUUCUUUCAAAUGCUAGCAGCGCCACGGCCUAAAACUAUCUUAACUGACCAAGCUCGUUCGAUGGAAAUUGCAAUAGUCGACGUGAUGUCGCGGACUGCACAUCGCUGGUGCAAAUGGCACGUACUGAAGAAGGCAAAGGAGAGCCUUGGAGCACUGCUUGCAAAAGGGAGUGAAUUCAAGCCACAAUUCAGCAAACUAGUCCACCACGUAGUUAGUAUUGAUGAAUUCGAGAAUGGGUGGGCGGCAUGAUGGAAAAAUAUGGGCUCCAGAAAAAUACAUUCCUGGCCUAGCUUUAUGAGGUGAGGGGGAAGUGGGUGAAUCCAUACUUCAUGGGUGUGUUCUGUCCAAAGAUGACAAGCACACAGCAAAGCGAGAGUGCGACCACCUUCUGAAAGGAUAUGUGCCACCAGGGUGCCCCAUGCACUUGUUCAUCAGGCAAUAUGAGAAGAUGCAAUUUGACCGCGAUUCAGAAGAAAGUUACCAGGAGAGAAGGACAAAAGUAGGUGGGGUUUUCCUGAAGCAAAAUAUCCCAAUUGAGGUACAUGCAUUGCAGGUGUACACCAGGACAAUGUUUGAGAAAUUUCGUGAAGUGUUGUAUGAAUGUGGAUCUUAUGACCUAGUAGAAGUCAAGCCACGCUUGGAGUACAUUGCUAGGCACAUCAAAUUUUAGUCAAUGGAAAAAUGGUGCGAGAAUGAGUUUGUGAUCUCCGUGAGCGAGACAACCGAUGAGUUCAAGUGCGAGUGUGGGAUGUUUGAGCACUAUGGAAUGGUUUGCAGCCAUGCUCUUAAGGUGAUGAUACACCUAAAACUGCAUGAGCUCCCUGCGAAACAUGUGCUCAAGCGAUGGACAAGAGAUGCAAGAGAUAUACUACUGCUAGAGUAUUUGCGCUACCAGAAGGAUCAUGGGCCGCUCAAACAUUCUUCUCGCCGACACAACACUUUAUACCUCUUGGCACUGGAUGUUGUUAAGUUAGGUGACGGCAAUGUGGAAGCAUAUGCUCUUGCUAUGGAGAAAAUGCGAGAUGUCAAAGUGUAGCUGGAGCCAGUUGCUGCUGUGAGGGAUGGACUUGGGUUGUCUGAUAGCGAACUGGCCACAAAUUCAACGGGUUCUGUCGUUGGUAACAAGCAACACUUUGAUCGAACUGAGUCUGAGCACACCAUUUCACAGGGAUCAGAUAUGUUCCCAGUUGCAUCAAAGAAGCGACUGGUUGGGCGCCCCACAACCAGCCGCGACAAAGGCUCCAUAUGAACAACCAUCAAAGAGGACUAGAUUUUGUUCCAUAUGCAGACUUCAGGGGCACUAGAGCACGACAUGCCCUGCCAGGGGUGAUGUGCCCAAGGAGCCCCGGAAAUCUCUUCGCUGCUCAAAAUGCGGGUUGACAGGGCACAGGAAGAGCACAUGCAGCCAAAGUCUGAAAUUUCAGAAAUUUAGUGUUGUUUCCUGAUGGUAUGCAUUUGUCUAGGUGACCCCUCUGUUAUUAGAAACCAUACCUUAUUUGAACACCUAAAAAGAUGGUCUUGUACUGUGUCUGCUACUAUAUAUGUGUUUGCUUAUUAUGUCGACCUUAUAUCGGGAUGUUGACAAAAUUGUUAAAUUUUCUGUUUGAAGUCAGUUAGAAAAAAAUUGUGUGCUGUGGGCAAGAGUGAAUAAGGUUAUCUCA